AUUUUGCUUUUGAUGGUCUGAUGCAUACCUUUGGGAGAAGCGGGUUGUCUCCAUUGUAUGAAAGAACCCAGCCGUUGCUCCGUCGGAAGGAGCCGCCGACACUAUCGCCAGGCGUUCGUCCUCACCUUGGCAAGUCAAGCAUUUUAAGUGGAAGAUUGUGGUGAAAUCUUGUUCUUCGAGUAGGUAAAGGUCUGCAGGGCACUGAUAUCACUGGGUGUAUUCCUGAUCUCAUCACAUGCUAAAAAUGUUGCUAUAGGAGAAAGGCCAGGUGUAUCCUUUUGCAAAAUCUGAUUAUCAGCCGGUGUAGCUGCCUAUUUGUGUCUCAGCCUAAGCUCCUCAACUUAAAUGAAUUGGCGGCAGUGGAAGCGAACAACGUCUGAUAGAUCUAGAGUACGAUUAUGAGCACAUGCUUUUUGGCAGCGACCCACUUGAUGGUUAUCACUGCCCCGGUACAGCAAGGCAAGUUGUGUACAUGGUAUUGCAGUGGUCAGCAACGGCUCAGCUCUACCGUGCACAAGUCAAUAGCUUCAGCUCCUAUGAGUUAGUUCUAAGCUCAGUUCAUCUACGUAAUUUCCUAUACAUGCUACAUAUACACUUUUUAACCAAGGAUUUAAUGUAUAUCACAUACAUUAUCGACGGAAAAGUUUGAUUUUUCUAUAUGCCCUUCUUCUGCUUAUGUUCAGUUCAGAGCCAUGGUUAUCGGCCAAACACAUAAUUUUUCUUGUUCGAAGUUUCUGGCCCCUAUGCAGCUAUGCUUGCGACCCAUCAUCAACCGUUGCACUUAUGAUGCAUGUAACUUUAUUGGAGAAACCUUAACUUGUGGUGGCCUCACUACUCUUACACAUACGCUCCAAUGACUUUUUUUCUGUUUGAUAUAUGGGGUGUCUGUGUUGUUCUCCGUUUCGUGCUUUAGGAAUGUUCAGCCUUGUCCUGGAACUAUAAUUAUAUGCCAAUCAAUCAUAAAUAAUCUGGCCAAGAAUUAUGUGGUGUACAAAUACUUAGAACUGAUUUAUUGUUAUUAGAGGUGACUUGAUUUUUGACUGAAAAUAUAAAUUGAAUUUUCAUUUUUUAGCUUUAUUGGUUUGUAGGUCAAUGCUU